AACGAACGCUGGCGGCAUGCCUUACACAUGCAAGUCGAACGCGAAAGUGUCUUCGGACAUUAGUAGAGUGGCAAACGGGUGAGUAACGCGUGGGAAUAUACCUUAUAGUAUGAAAUAGCCUCGGGAAACUGGGAUUAAUACCAUAUACGCCCUUCGGGGGAAAGAUUUAUCGCUAUAAGAUUAGCCCGCGUCAGAUUAGCUAGUUGGUGGGGUAAUAGCCUACCAAGGCAACGAUCUGUAGCUGGUCUGAGAGGACGAUCAGCCACAUUGGGACUGAGACACGGCCCAAACUCCUACGGGAGGCGGCAGUGGGGAAUAUUGGACAAUGGACGAAAGUCUGAUCCAGCAAUGCCGCGUGAAUGAUGAAGGCCUUAGGGUUGUAAAGUUCUUUAAGUGGGGAAGAUAAUGACGGUACCCACAGAAUAAGCACCGGCUAACUCCGUGCCAGCAGCCGCAGUAA
rnacentral:rRNA from 1 species